rnacentral:pre_miRNA from 1 species
UUUGUGGGGGAUGUUGGCUGGCUCGAUGCAUUCACUUGUGAUGAGAUGCAGCUUAGAUUUAUCCGACCACAAGAAUGAAGAAUGUGACGGCAUCGGACCAGGCUUCAUUCCUCUCAAA